rnacentral:lncRNA from 1 species
AACCCACUGGGAACUAAGGAAGUUAGUUCUCACCCCACUCUUUUCAGGUCCGAGUUCGAGCUUCCCGGGCGAGCGUGAGGAUCGCGGUAAGGGCCCGGCGCCUUAGUUGCAUUAGCCACCUACCCUUUUGUGUUAGCUCUACCCUUAUUUAUAUUUGAGAGUAGAUGAUGUAUAGGGUGAGGUUUGAGUGCUUGUAUUUAUAUUUUUGGAAGAAUGUAAAAGACGUACUUAAAUGUAUUGAG